rnacentral:lncRNA from 1 species
UAAAAAUAAUAAUAAUUCAGUGUGUUUUUUUAUUUAAUUACAGCUGCAUAGCUAAUGUUAUUAUUUGGUGUACAAACACUUUUUCAUAUCAAUAUUGUACAUACAUGUGAUUGUAAAAGUUUUGUAUAUUUUGGUUUGGCCCAUCGCGGGUUAUCUGUAUAUCCGUACCCCCUCAUUGUUCUCUUUUGCCUGACCUUCGGCAUAGCAAGGUAUGUUGUCCUUGGCUCCGAAAUUGUUCAAUAUAAAACCGUGGUAAUGUUACACAAUGUACUGUUAUGCUACCAUAAGUUUGUUACAAUGUGGAUAAUAUAAAGAUUUCUGUUAACAAGUUUCCCCGAGCUCGUUAACUAGGAUACCUAUGUUAACAUGUGAGUACUUGGGACAGUGGUUGAGUGAGUGUCCAUGUGCUUGCGCAGGUGCCGGAGAGCUGUGACUGCGCCAAGGGCUAAAGUAUUGUGUGUUGUUUCUUCGUGUGCAGGGCAAAUAAAAAUAAUUCAACCAGCAGACCUCCAGUUGUGGCAGUGUCCUAAUUAAAAGUACACAACGCAGAACGAACCACGCUACACGUGCAUUGGAGAGACAGAUGCCAACAAGAUAAAAAUACAUUUGAAAUGUCUUUAUUAGUUUGGAACUUUUACAGCCAGAAACAGAAUUACCCACCAAACCAGGACCAAGCGGCGGAAGAGGAAGGAGCAGCAGGACUACUGCGUUAUGGACAAAUGGACAUGGGAACAGAUCCUGGACGGAGAGGGACCAUGGACUCAGGCUGGGGAUUAUCGCCUCCCGCAGUGGGAGAUUGAAGCGGCGAGAGCGGAGAGGCGAUACUACGAGGAGAGAGAGCGCAACGAGCGCGAGAGGCAGCCCCAAUAUUUUUUUGGGGGGGGGCACACGGGACAGUCGGUGGAGCUGAGGUCGGAACCAGAGCCAGUCGGGAUGACAUUGGAGGUGAGCGAGGGCUAUGAGACAGAG